CCUUACCUACUCUUGACAUCCAGAGAAGCCAGCGGAGACGCAGGUGUGCCUUCGGGAGCUCUGAGACAGGUGCUGCAUGGCUGUCGUCAGCUCGUGUUGUGAAAUGUUGGGUUAAGUCCCGCAACGAGCGCAACCCUUAUCCUUGUUUGCCAGCGAGUAAUGUCGGGAACUCCAGGGAGACUGCCGGUGAUAAACCGGAGGAAGGUGGGGACGACGUCAAGUCAUCAUGGCCCUUACGAGUAGGGCUACACACGUGCUACAAUGGCGCAUACAGAGGGCAGCCAACUUGCGAAAGUGAGCGAAUCCCAAAAAGUGCGUCGUAGUCCGGAUUGGAGUCUGCAACUCGACUCCAUGAAGUCGGAAUCGCUAGUAAUCGUAGAUCAGAAUGCUACGGUGAAUACGUUCCCGGGUCUGUACACACCGAAUCUAGAGCAUCGCGAGUCAGACGC
rnacentral:rRNA from 1 species